rnacentral:rRNA from 1 species
ACUACGGGGGGCAGCAGUGAGGAAUAUUGGUCAAUGGCCGGAAGGCUGAACCAGCCAUGCCGCGUGAAGGUCAGUGCCCUAUGGGCGUUAAACUUCUUUUGUGCGGGAGCAAUAAUGGUCACGUGUGGCCAGACGAGAGUACCGUACGAAUAAGCAUCGGCUAACUCCGUGCCAGCAGCAGCGGUAAUACGGGGGAUGCAAGCGUUAUCCGGAUUUUUUGGGGUUAAAGGGUGCGUAGGCUGUGAGGUAAGUCAGCGGUGAAAUGCCCCGGCUCAACGGGGUGAAGUGCCAUUGAUCCUGCCGUGCUGGAAUGCGGAUGCCGUGGGAGGAAUGUGUGGUGUAGCGGUGAAAUGCAUAGAUAUCACACAGAACACCGAUUGCGAAGGCAUCUCACGAAUCCGCGAUUGACGCUGAUGCACGAAAGCGUGGGUAUCAAACAGGAUUAGAUACCCCAGUAGUC